rnacentral:rRNA from 1 species
GACGAACGCUGGCGGCGUGCUUAACACAUGCAAGUCGAACGGAAAGGCCCUGCUUUUGUGGGGUGCUCGAGUGGCGAACGGGUGAGUAACACGUGAGUAACCUGCCCUUGACUUUGGGAUAACUUCAGGAAACUGGGGCUAAUACCGGAUAGGAGCUCCUGCUGCAUUGUGGGGGUUGGAAAGUUUCGGCGGUUGGGGAUGGACGCGCGGCUUAUCAGCUUGUUGGUGGGGUAGUGGCUUACCAAGGCUUUGACGGGUAGCCGGCCUGAGAGGGUGGCCGGCCACAUUGGGACUGAGAUACGGCCCAGACUCCAACGGGAGGCAGCAGUGGGGAAUAUUGCACAAUGGGAGGAAGCCUGAUGCAGCAACGCCGCGUGCGGGAUGACGGCCUUCGGGUUGUAAACCGCUUUCGCCUGUGACGAAGCGUGAGUGACGGUAAUGGGUAAAGAAGCACCGGCUAACUACGUG